rnacentral:rRNA from 1 species
AUGGCUGUCGUCAGCUCGUGUCGUGAGAUGUUGGGUUAAGUCCCGCAACGAGCGCAACCCACGUCUUUAGUUGCCAGCAUUCAGUUGGGCACUCUAGAGAGACCGCCGGUGAUAAACCGGAGGAAGGUGUGGAUGACGUCAAGUCAUCAUGYCCCUUACAUCCUGGGCUACACACGUACUACAAUGCUACGGACAARGGGCAGCAAACUCGCGAGAGCUAGCAAAUCCCAUAAACCGUGGCUCAGUUCAGAUCGUAGGCUGCAACUCGCCUACGUGAAGGAGGAAUCGCUAGUAAUCGCAGGUCAGCAUACUGCGGUGAAUACGYUCCCGGGCCUUGUACACACCGCCCGUCACACCAUGGAAGUUGGCCAUGCCCGAAGUCGUUACUCCAACCCGCAAGGGAGGAGGACGCCGAAGGUGGGGCUGAUGACUGGGGUGAAGUCGUAACAAGGUAGCCGUACCGGAAGGUGCGGCUGGAUCACCUCCUAAC